UACAGAGGGUGCGAGCGUUAAUCGGAAUUACUGGGCGUAAAGCGUGCGUAGACGGCUAUCUAAGUCGGGUGUGAAAGCCCCGGGCUCAACCUGGGAAUUGCAUUCGAGACUGAAUAGCUAGGGUACGGUAGAGGGAAGUGGAAUUCCCGGUGUAGCGGUGAAAUGCGUAGAUAUCGGAAGGAACAUCAGUGGCGAAAGCGACUUCCUGGACCAGUACCGACGUUCAGGCACGAAAGCGUGGGGAGCAAACAGG
rnacentral:rRNA from 1 species